rnacentral:rRNA from 1 species
AUUGAACGCUGGCGGAAUGCUUUACACAUGCAAGUCGAACGGCAGCACGGGGGCAGCCCUGGUGGCGAGUGGCGAACGGGUGAGUAAUACAUCGGAACGUGCCCGGUCGUGGGGGAUAACGUAGCGAAAGUUACGCUAAUACCGCAUACGAUCUGAGGAUGAAAGCGGGGGACCUUCGGGCCUCGCGCGAUCGGAGCGGCCGAUGUCAGAUUAGGUAGUUGGUGGGGUAAAGGCCUACCAAGCCGACGAUCUGUAGCUGGUAUGAGAGGACGACCAGCCAGACGGGGAGAGAGACACGGCCCAGACUCCUACGGGAGGAAGCAGUGGGGAAUUUUGGACAAGGGGGGAAAGCCUGAUCCAGCCAUACCGCGUGCAGGACGAAGGCCUUCGGGUUGGAAACUGCUGUUGUACGGAACGAAAAGGCUCUGGCUAAUACCUGGGGCUAAUGACGGUACCGGAAGAAUAAGCACCGGCUAACUACGUG